AAAAAGACAAAUCCUGAUUUCCAUGUCCAACGUUUGACCGUCCGUCUUAUUUAAAAAAAUUAUAAAAAAAUUUAAAAAGAUAAGUCACGCAUAAAAUAUUAAUCAUGUUUUAUCAUUUAACAACAAUGAAAAUACUAAUUAUAAAAAAAUUUCAUAUAAGACGGACCGUCAAACGUUGACACGGAAACCUAGGGUUUGUCUUUUU
rfam:Oryza nivara chromosome 8, whole genome shotgun sequence.